GUCUAGCUGAGGAGUCCCAUAAUAGGACGAAACGGUCGUCGGUUGAC
rnacentral:hammerhead_ribozyme from 1 species